GACGAACGCUGGCGGCGUGCUUAACACAUGCAAGUCGAACGGAAAGGCCCCUUUGGGGGUACUCGAGUGGCGAACGGGUGAGUAACACGUGAGUAACCUGCCCUUGACUUCGGGAAAAAUUCAGGAAACUGGGGCUAAUACCGGCUAGGAAUCCUUGCUGCAUGGUGGGGGUUGGAAAGAUUCGGCGGUUUUGGAUGGACUCGCGGCUUAUCAGCUUGUUGGUGGGGUAGUGGCUUACCAAGGCGUUGACGGGUAGCCGGCCUGAGAGGGCGACCGGCCACAUUGGGACUUAGGUACGGCCCAGGCUCCUACGGGAGGCAGCAGUGGGGAAUAUUGCACAAUGGGCGGCAGCCUUAUGCAGCAACGCCGCGUGCGGGAUGACGGCCUUCGGGUUGUAAACCGCUUUCAGCAGGGGCGAAGCUUGUGGUGACGGUACCUGCAGAAGAAGCACCGGCUAACUACGUG
rnacentral:rRNA from 1 species